GACGAACGCUGGCGGCGUGCUUAACACAUGCAAGUCGAACGGAAAGGCCCUGCUUUUGUUGGGUUCUCGAGUGGCGAACGGGUGAGUAACACGUGAGUAACCUGUCCUUGACUUUGGGAUAACUUCAGGAAACUGGGGCUAAUACCGGGUAUGAGCUCCUGCUGCAUGGUGGGGGUUGGAAAGUUUCGGCGGUUGGGGAUGGACUCGCGGCUUAUCAGCUUGUUGGUGUGGUAGUGGCAUACCAAGGCUUUGACGGGUAGCCGGCCUGAGAGGGUGACCGGCCACAUUGGGACUGAGAUAGGGCCCAGACUCCUACGGGAGGCAGCAGUGGGGAAUAUUGCACAAUGGGCGGAAGCGUGAUGCGGCAACGCCGCGUGCGGGAUGACGGCCUUCGGGUUGUAAACCGCUUUCGCAUGUGACGAAGAGUGAGUGACGGUAAUGGGUAAAGAAGCACCGGCUAACUACGUG
rnacentral:rRNA from 1 species